UUUUCUCUCUUUUUCUUCGAAUUUUUUCUUUCUUCUUCAUCGUCAGUUUUUUUUUUUUUUUUUUUUUCUUCCUAAGUGAUUCUCACUCUCAGAGUUGAAGUAAACCUCUCGAACAGUCGAACUUACACCUACAUACAUAUAGUGGCCCCUGCAAUCAUGUGCUUUAUCUGGCCGACAAAAUUCUCUUCCUCUUCGUCAUCUUCUCCGUCGUCCCUCUCCCUCUCGUUUUCGCAGAGGUUCUCAGAUGGGCCGGCCUCGACAGCUACAAGACCCAGCCCAAAGUCUGAUUGCCCUUCUAUGAAAUGCUCAAGUGCUACAAGUAUGUUAUGGGCAUGUUCCUUCUUGUUGUUGGCCAUUUUCAGCUCGUCUCUUACUCUUCUAUCCAGAUAAUAGGGAUUCGAACAGGAUUGCCAUUGCCUUCUGGAUGGGAGAAGCUUUUCCAAUUGUUAGUUUAUUUCUUGGUAGAAGAUUUUACCAAUUACUGCAUUCACAGAUUUUUGCAUAGCAAAUUGGGGUAUGAGAAAAUCCAGAGAGUUCACCAUAAGUACACUGCUCCAUUUCGGUUUGCAGCACCAUAUGCUCCUGGCCACAUGGUCACCUUCUGGUAGUGGAGCAGAUUGAGGCCAUUGAAAACACGCAGCGGUGAUGACUUCCGCUGGCGGUGCUGAGUACCACGAUUACCAACGCUAUGUUGGAGGACAAAGCCAUAGCAAUUUUGCUUCAGUUUUCACCUGCUGUGAUUACAUUUAUGGAACUGACAUGGGAUACUGGUAUCAGAAGAAGAUCCUUGCGAAGGUAAACCUGCAAAACCUUUUCUCCUGAGAUUAUCAAUUAGUUGCUUCCAGGACUACUUUCACGCUUUCCCCAUAUUUUGCUUACGGCCUUAGGCAACCACCUCUGACCCCAACCAUGCAUCGUCUGUCAGUUAUAAAAUUGAAUUGGCAUGACAGAUCUUUUUAUCUUGGAUUUUGCAUUUGUUUCUCCCGUCUAACCAAUCUCGGUGAUCUAUAUCAGUUGAAAGAGGAAAGUUUUGGUUCCAAAACGGUCGUACAUAUAAUAAUUCUACUGUAGAUCUUAAAUCUGAUUAGCACGGAGACUGCGUAACCUUGCCUGCAGAAAUGCCCUUUCGGUAUUGUUCUCACUGGUGACAACUCUACAAAACCUCUGAUUUUCAAGUUGACAUCACCAUGCUAGGGUGGUAAAGUAGAAGCUUUUAGUGGCUCAGGAGCAGAUUAACUUUGGGUUUUUCAGAGUUGUGAUUUUGGGUAGCUUGAGAGGGGGUUCAAAGUCAGUUAGAUUGUAAGGUUCAGAGUCCAGACUUGUGUUUUUGGCAGUAUGUUCAAAUUAUAAUAUUAUGAACUCGUGCAGUGUUUGUGAU